rnacentral:rRNA from 1 species
UGCAGUCGAGCGCACUCUUCGGAGUGAGCGGCGGACGGGUUAGUAACGCGUGGGAACGUACCCAGAUCUACGGAAUAGCCUCGGGAAACUGAGAGUAAUACCGUAUACGCCCUUCGGGGGAAAGAUUUAUCGGAUUUGGAUCGGCCCGCGUUAGAUUAGAUAGUUGGUGAGGUAACGGCUCACCAAGUCUACGAUCUAUAGCUGGUUUUAGAGGAUGAUCAGCAACACUGGGACUGAGACACGGCCCAGACUCCUACGGGAGGCAGCAGUGGGGAAUCUUGGACAAUGGGCGCAAGCCUGAUCCAGCCAUGCCGCGUGAGUGAUGAAGGCCUUAGGGUCGUAAAGCUCUUUCGCCAGAGAUGAUAAUGACAGUAUCUGGUAAAGAAACCCCGGCUAACUCCGUGCCAGCAGCCGCGGUAAUACGGAGGGGGUUAGCGUUGUUCGGAAUUACUGGGCGUAAAGCGCACGUAGGCGGAUCAGAAAGUAUAGGGUGAAAUCCCAGGGCUCAACCCUGGAACUGCCUUAUAAACUCCUGGUCUUGAGUUCGAGAGAGGUGAGUGGAAUUCCGAGUGUAGAGGUGAAAUUCGUAGAUAUUCGGAGGAACACCAGUGGCGAAGGCGGCUCACUG